GACGAACGCUGGCGGCGUGCUUAACACAUGCAAGUCGAACGGAAAGGCCCUGCUUUUGUGGGGUGCUCGAGUGGCGAACGGGUGAGUAACACGUGAGUAACCUGCCCUUGACUUUGGGAUAACUUCAGGAAACUGGGGCUAAUACCGGAUAGGAGCUCCUGCUGCAUGGUGGGGGUUGGAAAGUUUCGGCGGUUGGGGAUGGACUCGCGGCUUAUCAGCUUGUUGGUGGGGUAGUGGCUUACCAAGGCUUUGACGGGUAGCCGGCCUGAGAGGGUGACCGGCCACAUUGGGACUGUGAUACGGCCCAGACUCCUAAGGGAGGCAGCAGUGGGGAAUAUUGCACAAUGGGCGGAAGCCUGAUGCAGCAACGCCGCGUGCGGGAUGACGGCCUUCGGGUUGUAAACCGCUUUCGCCUGUGACGAAGCGUGAGUGACGGUAAUGGGUAAAGAAGCACCGGCUAACUACGUG
rnacentral:rRNA from 1 species